GCAGCCCUAACACGGAAAGGCACUCGCAGUGCUGCUCUCCUGAGGGAACAGGGCUUGGCUCCUCUCUCCGUGCUUCAUCCAUAUGCAAAGCUCCUCUCUGGAGGUAAUUCCAUCUGAUUGAAUCUUCUCUGAAUCUUGAUUUAAUCCUCCAAGUUCUGCUUGCUCCUGCCAAGGAAGAGCAGCGAGUCCACGUCGUGUUGUUCACACGUGGGGAAUUGGGCGUUGGAUUUUCAGUGUGGAUGAGGGAGACCUGAGCAGCUCCUGUGCUCCAUCGCCAUGGAAACAGAGAUCCACGCACGGGCCAUGGAUACCGAGCAGAUUUCAGCACUGGCUUUGGAACAGCUCCUGCGAGAGCACCGAGGGGAAAGCUGGGGAAAGGAAAGGUGGGGAAAGGUGUUUCCAUCUGCAGCUCACCCCAGCAUUCCUGGUGGGUGAUGCAGCUGAGCUCUGGGACGGAGCAGGAGGAUUUUAUUGUCCAUUGGGGAGGGCAAGGAUGAGACAUAAACUUUAAGGAAUCCCGAGAUUUUGGAGGAGCUAAGAUUUCAGUUAGAGAUAAGCUUUAUUGGAGUUAAUUAAAAUAAAUGGGUAGGCCUUGAUGAAGUUAAGAGUUUGUAGUUAACUGAUAAAUGAUUGCUUGUCAGCACAAUGUUUGGUUAGCUGGGUUUCUAAUGAAGAAUAUAGGAACUGGUAAAUAGCUUUUAGGAACAUAAGACAAUUGUGGGCCUCUGUUCUGAAACCAAUUGAAGAUGGGGAAUGGGAGUUCUACCAAAGGUUCAUUUGUCAUAUUUGCAUUGAAAAGGCAGAAAGGUCAGAAUGAGGAAGACUUCAUUGGCUUCCUCAUUUUAGGACCCCUCCCCAUGAAAGGGACCACCGACCCAUUUCAAGGAACAAACUGUGCAUGCUUAAUGGCUUUUGAACUAAUUACCAGGGAAGUGGGGAAUGGGAUGUACCAAAGUUAUGAACAUGUAUUUGUAUUUUGAGAAUUCAAUACCUGUAUAGAUAAAUGGACUCUGUAAUCACCUGUAAAUGGGGAUGUGUAUUUGGGAAUUAUCCCACAAUAAACAUUCACUUUUUAACUCUAAACUGUUACAGAGUUUUUGGAUAUUGGUACUAAAUCAAUAUCCACAUUGGGAACGAGAUGUACCAAAGUUAUAAAUAUGUAUUUCUAUUUUGGGUAUUCAAUACUUGUGUAGAUAAAAGGACUCUGUGAUCACCUGUAAAUCACAGGGUGUAUUUGGGAGCUAUCCCA